GCCUGGUUAGCUCAGCUGGUUAGAGCGUCGUACUAAUAAAGCGUAGCAUUUAUUAAGUCCUAAAACGCAAUGCGAAGGUCAACAGUUCAAUCCUGUUACUGGGCA